UGCCUGCAAACUAAGCCGCCAUGGCGCCAUUAUUGCUUUUCAUUGGAUCUCACAGCUGCUGAAGAUCAGUCACGCACGAACAAACCAUGCAAUCGGCCGCUCGGACGCCGCCACCGUAGAGGCGCCGCCUGGAUGGGAACUCAUCAUGAUGAUGGUUUGGAUCGAUCCAUGUUGUUAUCUAUACAUGUUGUUCAUGCUGCUCGACGAUGCCCCGGUGGAAAGCGCCGAUCGGAUUUCCCUAGGCGACCUGACCUACAUAUGAAUACAACUUCCCUUCGUUAGACCCAUUUUUUUUAAAGACCCGUUUUUAAAACCAAGCCAUGAAGGCCAACCUGUUCCUCUGAAUGUGGAGAAGACUGCCAUUGCAGCAAGACACGUGGAUCUAGAGAUUGAAAUCUAAUUGUUGUAGAACAGCCAGAUCUAGUGGAGUAUGUAAUGGCCAUGUACUGUCCACCGUCGGCAGUAUGGUGGGAGCCUGCUGACCUUGGAGAACUUCUGGAUGAGGACGAAUAUACUUUGGCGUCCGCUCAAGAUGUGCAUGUUGUUUCCUGCAAUGAAUGGAUGACAUAAUGGAUGCAUCAUGUAUGUAUCACGAUCAUGUAUUACCGAACGCACCAGCUUGAAUAUAAACAAAC